rnacentral:rRNA from 1 species
AUGCCACCUUCCGUGCACGACACGGAAGGCCUGCCGUUCAUGAAGCAUGGUUGUGUCUUUAGUGCGCACCGCCGGAUGAACGUCAUGCUGGGACACGCUAUCCCUGAUUUAUGCCGCUUCAGCUUGGAUGAGUCUCCAUCGUGUGGAACCGGGCUAGAAAGCUGCGACAAUGAUUCCCGUUGCCCACCGCUAUGGAUCGUGCCAUCCAUGAAGAACACCUGGGACUCGAACCUGGAGGAGGACAUCAGACGCAAAUGCGCUGGCCUUCAUGAUUCCAGGACCUGGAAUCAUACCAGCCGAUGGUCGAAGAAGGAUUGGCCGGUGCUGCCGGCUGGCGUCAAGUUCGAUCCCACGGAUCAGGAGCUGAUCGAGCACCUUGAGGCCAAAGUGAGUGCUGACAGCGCGAGAUUUCAGUCUCUCAUCGAUUUGUUCAUACCAACCAUCGACAGCGAGCACGGCAUAUGCUACACCCAACCUGAGAAACUUCCAGAGUGGCCUAAGGAAGCAUUUCUUCUAGCGCAAUUCCAGGGCGUUCAAAAGGGGCACGUGGACGCGUCGCAAGAUACAGUCAGAGUGUGGCAUGCACGCGAUGUGGCACAAGACCGGCAAUACCUUGCCGGUGAUGGUCAACGGCCGGCAAGACGGGCAGCAAAAAAGGUUCUGGUGCUGCACACCAACAAGAACUUCGACCAACAGAGGACCAACUGGGUGAUGCACCAGUACCACCUCGGGGACCUGGAGCAAGAGAAGGAGCGGGAGCUGGUCCUCUGCAAGAUUUUCUACCAGACGAACACUAGGGCCAGGAGUAAAAAGAUUAUAAGUUAG